CCAGACUCCUACGGGAGGCAGCAGUGGGGAAUAUUGCACAAUGGGGGAAACCCUGAUGCAGCAACGCCGCGUGAGUGAAGAAGUAUUUCGGUAUGUAAAGCUCUAUCAGCAGGGAAGAAGAUGACGGUGCCUGAUUAAGAAGCCCCGGCUAACUACGUGCCAGCAGCCGCGGUAAUACGUAGGGGGCAAGCGUUAUCCGGAUUUACUGGGUGUAAAGGGAGCGCAGACGGCAGUGCAAGUCUGGAGUGAAAGCCCGGGGCCCAACCCCGGAACUGCUCUGGAAACUGUGCGGCUGGAGUGCAGGAGGGGUAAGCGGAAUUCCUAGUGUAGCGGUGAAAUGCGUAGAUAUUAGGAGGAACACCGGUGGCGAAGGCGGCUUACUGGACUGUAACUGACGUUGAGGCUCGAAAGCGUGGGGAGCAAACAGGAUUAGAUACCCCAGUAC
rnacentral:rRNA from 1 species